UUUGUGUUUGUCUUGACGUUUGUUUUCUGUUCUCUGGGUGGGUGCUGAUACCAGUGGUUUCUCUAAGCCUUCAAAGGACUCUGCUAAGGGGCUUGAAGGAUCCAGCAAGGAGCCAUAGCAAAGAACGAAGCUCUCUAGCUAUCCUUCCUGGGGUCAGGCAAGCUUUGUUGCUCUUCAAGCCUGUGUUGGCACUUGGGGAGGCUCUGUGGGCGUAGGCUCACCUUGUCCUGGUGCUCUGAGCUUUCUGCUCAUUCCCUAGGCUUUACAUCAUCUUUUCUAGAGGUUUUCAAGUAGCUGUGCCCAUUGGAACAAUAGGAGGUGCUGAAGAACUGGAGAGCAGUACAAGGCCUCUGCUGUGGAUCUUGGUGCUGACAUUGCCAUUGCAACUGGCUUGGUGCUCUACCUCUCUUGGGUCCCUUUUUGCCCUCCUCUCCUCUAUGCCCCCCCCCCCCAAGCGGUGCAAGGACUCUACUGAGGCUCUUGGUGGACACAGCAGGAACCCACAGCCAGAGAUGGAUGCCAAGAUCCACUCCUUCCUCUGUCUGACUGCUAUGCUCUGGCAGAGAGAGAGAUGCACAUAAAAGAGGCAGGCUCCAAAACAGGCUUUCGGAUUGGAGACUCUACCACCCGGUAGUACUGGCCUUCCUGACCACCUUGGGUUGCAGCGUUAGAUGUGCUCUGAUCCUUGGAAACGCUUGUUCUGUGUUCAACAGAUGGCAGCAGAGAACUGUGACCCUUCAAGCCUACUGAGGAUGUUCAAGGACACAGCAGGAACCCGCAGCCAUACGUGGAGACCAAGAUCAACUCAUUACUUUGUCUGUUGAGCUCUGUUGACCCUAAGUUCCUUUUUAAAAUACUGAAAGAGGGAUCACUUACACUUUUCCAAGGACCAGUGCACAUCAAAAACUGCUACCUGAGGAGGUCAGGAAGGCCAGUACCAGCUGGUGGUGAAGUCUCCAAUCCUAGAAGGAAAGAAGAAACCCUCACAAGAGGUACUGAAUAAUGUGGGGAAGGGAAGAAUAGGGGUCAUUCUAGGAAGCCAAAGUCAUACACAGAAGUCAUCAGAAGCCUGUUUUGGAGCCUACCAAAACGUUUUUGGAGCCUACCAAAACAUCUUAUUUGGCAUCACCCUUGGUCAACACAUAGCAGUCUGUAUUUGGGUCACCGUAGCUCCAACGAGGCCUAGAUUGGCAGCCUGGAAAACAAAGGGAACAAAGAGAAACACAGCAUAACAUGAAGAAAUGAUAGUGAACCUGAAAAUUAAGAGAACAAACCGGUGUGCUGUCAGAACAGCAGAAGGCACAGAGAUCCCAUCAGAACUGGGGAGCCGUAGGAAUGGGCAAAGGAAGAACACCCGGUUGUUGGGGUGACAGGCGGGGUUAAGGGUGGUGCAAUGGGAGGGAGACCGGGUCAUGGGUUUCCUGGGCGG
rnacentral:lncRNA from 7 species